rnacentral:rRNA from 1 species
ACUGGGGGAGGUCAGCCGAGACUGACGGGCUUGAGGGUCAGAGAGGAAGGUGGAAUUCCCGGUGUAGCGGUGGAAUGCGUAGAGAUCGGGAGGAACACCAGUGGCGAAGGCGGCCUUCUGGCUGACGACUGACGCUGAGGCGCGAAAGCGUGGGUAGCAAACGGGAUUAGAUACCCCGGUAGUCCACGCCCUAAACGAUGAGGGCUAGGUGUUGGUGGGAUUACCCAUCCGUGCCGAAGCAAACGCGUUAAGCCCUCCGCCUGGGGACUACGAGCGCAAGCUUAAAACUCAAAGGAAUUGACGGGGGCCCGCACAAGCAGCGGAGCGUGCGGUUCAAUUCGAUGCAACACGAAGAACCUUACCAGGGUUUGACAUGCGGAUGGUACCGAACUGAAAGGGGAGGGACCCG